rnacentral:rRNA from 1 species
CAGCAGCCGCGGGAACACGUAGGUGGCAAGCGUUGUCCGGAAUUAUUGGGCGUAAAGGGCUCGCAGGCGGUUUCUUAAGUCUGAUGUGGAAGCCCCCGGCUCAACCGGGGAGGGUCAUUGGAAACUGGGAAACUUGAGUGCAGAAGAGGAGAGUGGAAUUCCACGUGUAGCGGUGAAAUGUGUAGAGAUGUGGAGGAACACCAGUGGCGAAGGCGACUCUCUGGUCUGUAACUGACGCUGAGGAGCGAAAGCGUGGGGAGCGAACAGGAUUAGAUACCCCAGUAGUCCCUGUCUCUUAUAC